GAUGAACGCUGGCGGCGUGCUUAACACAUGCAAGUCGAACGGAAAGGCCCUGCUUGUGUGGUGUGCUCGAGUGGCGAACGGGUGUGUAACACGUGUGUAACCUGCCUUUGACUUUGGUAUAACUUCAGGAAACUGGGUAUAAUACCGGAUAGGAGCUCCUGCUGCGUGGUGGGGGUUGGAAAGUUUCGGCGGUUGGGGAUGGACUCGCGGCUUAUCAGCUUGUUGGUGGGGUAGUGGCUUACCAAGGCCUUGACGGGUAGCCGGCCUGAGAGGGUGACCGGCCACAUUGGGACUGAGAUACGGCCCAGACUCCUACGGGAGGCAGCAGUGGGGAAUAUUGCACAAUGGGCGGAAGCCUGAUGCAGCAACGCCGCGUGAGGGAUGACGGCCUUCGGGUUGUAAACCGCUUUCGCCUGUGACGAAGCGAAAGUGACGGUAAUGGGUAAAGAAGCACCGGCUAACUACGUG
rnacentral:rRNA from 1 species